rnacentral:rRNA from 1 species
GACGAACGCUGGCGGCGUGCUUAACACAUGCAAGUCGAACGGAAAGGCCCUGCUUGCAGGGUGCUCGAGUGGCGAACGGGUGAGUAACACGUGGGUGAUCUGCCCCUUACUUUGGGAUAAGCCUGGGAAACUGGGUCUAAUACUGGAUAGGACCAUGCUGUAGGUGGUGUGGUGGAAAGAUUAGUUUCGGUAAGGGAUGAGCUCGCGGCCUAUCAGCUUGUUGGUGGGGUAAUGGCCUACCAAGGCGUCGACGGGUAGCCGGCCUGAGAGGGUGGACGGCCACAUUGGGACUGAGAUACGGCCCAGACUCCUACGGGAAGCAGCAGUGGGGAAUAUUGCACAAUGGGCGCAAGCCUGAUGCAGCGACGCCGCGUGGGGGAUGACGGCCUUCGGGUUGUAAACUCCUUUCAGCCAUGACGAAGCCCUUGUGGUGACGGUAGUGGUAGAAGAAGCACCGGCUAACUACGUG